UACGGAGGGGGCUAGCGUUGUUCGGAAUUACUGGGCGUAAAGCGCACGUAGGCGGCUUUGUAAGUUAGAGGUGAAAGCCCAGAGCUCAACUCUGGAACUGCCUUUAAGACUGCAUCGCUUGAAUUGUGGAGAGGUAAGUGGAAUUCCGAGUGUAGUGGUGAAAUGCGUAGAGAUCGGGAGGAACACCAGUGGCGAAGGCGGCUCGCUGGGCCGGACCUGACGCUGAGACGCGAAGGCGUGGGGAGCGAACAGG
rnacentral:rRNA from 1 species